rnacentral:rRNA from 1 species
AGCAUUAUACCGCGAAACUGCGAAUGGCUCAUUAAAUCAGUUAUCGUUUAUUUGAUAGUACCUUUCUACUUGGAUACCUGUGGUAAUUCUAGAGCUAAUACAUGCUAAAAAUCCCGACUCACGGAGGGAUGUAUUUAUUAGAUUAAAAACCAAUGCCCUUCGGGGCUCCUUGGUGAUUCAUAAUAACUUCUCGAAUCGCAUGGCCUUGCGCCGGCGAUGGUUCAUUCAAAUUUCUGCCCUAUCAACUUUCGAUGGCAGGGUCUUGGCCUGCCAUGGUUACAACGGGUAACGGAGGGUUAGGGCUCGACCCCGGAGAAGGAGCCUGAGAAACGGCUACUACAUCCAAGGAAGGCAGCAGGCGCGCAAAUUACCCAAUCCCGAUACGGGGAGGUAGUGACAAUAAAUACUGAUACAGGGCUCUUUUGGGUCUUGUAAUUGGAAUGAGUACAAUUUAAAUCCCUUAACGAGGAACAAUUGGAGGGCAAGUCUGGUGCCAGCAGCCGCGGUAAUUCCAGCUCCAAUAGCGUAUAUUAAAGUUGUUGCAGUUAAAAAGCUCGUAGUUGAACCUUGGGCCUGGCUGGCCGGUCCGCCUCACCGCGUGCACUGGUUCGGCCGGGCCUUUCCCUCUGGGGAACCCCAUGCCCUUCACUGGGUGUGGCGGGGAACCAGGACUUUUACUGUGAAAAAAUUAGAGUGUUCAAAGCAGGCCUAAGCUCGAAUACAUUAGCAUGGAAUAAUAGAAUAGGACGUGUGGUUCUAUUUUGUUGGUUUCUAGGACCGCCGUAAUGAUUAAUAGGGACAGUCGGGGGCAUCAGUAUUCAAUUGUCAGAGGUGAAAUUCUUGGAUUUAUUGAAGACUAACUACUGCGAAAGCAUUUGCCAAGGAUGUUUUCAUUAAUCAGGAACGAAAGUUAGGGGAUCGAAGACGAUCAGAUACCGUCGUAGUCUUAACCAUAAACUAUGCCGACUAGGGAUCGGACGAUGUUAUUUUUUGACUCGUUCGGCACCUUACGAGAAAUCAAAGUCUUUGGGUC